rnacentral:rRNA from 1 species
UACGUAGGUGGCAAGCGUUGUCCGGAAUUAUUGGGCGUAAAGUGCGCGCAGGCGGGAUAUCAAGUCUGUCUUAAAAGUGCGAGGCUCAACCUCGUGAGGGGACAGAAACUGGUAUUCUUGAGUGUCGGAGAGGAAAGUGGAAUUCCAAGUGUAGCGGUGAAAUGCGUAGAGAUUUGGAAGAACACCAGUGGCGAAGGCGACUUUCUGGACGAUGUCUGACGCUGAGGCGCGAAAGCUAGGGGAGCGAACGGG